rnacentral:rRNA from 1 species
UACAGAGGGCUCAAGCGUUGUUCGGAAUCAUUGGGCGUAAAGGGUGCGUAGGCGGCGCGGUAAGUCGGGUGUGAAAUCUCGGAGCUUAACUCCGAAACUGCAUUCGAUACUGCCGUGCUUGAGGACUGGAGAGGAGACUGGAAUUUACGGUGUAGCGGUGAAAUGCGUAGAUAUCGUAAGGAAGACCAGUGGCGAAGGCGGGUCUCUGGACAGUUCCUGACGCUGAGGCACGAAGGUCAGGGGAGCAAACGGG